CGAGCUACACUCAUCCCGCUCGGCCUCCCAAUCGCGCCUCGGCCGCCGCCGUCCCGCUGCCCUUUUCUCAAGCCUUCCCUUCCCUAUGUUCCGGGACCGGAGUACGGGAAGCAAAGACCCUCUUGUCCAGUCCCCAUCAUGUCCGAAGUGACCAAAGAGCUGCUGGAGCUGGUGUGGGGCACCAAGAGCAGUCCCGGACUGUCGGACACCAUCUUCUGCCGCUGGACGCAAGGGCAUUGAAAACAUAAAGAAUUCAAUUGAAGAUGCAAACGAGCCUUUGAUAGACCCUGUGUACGGGCAUGGCAGCCAAAGCUUAAUAAACCUCCUCCUGACGGGGCACGCGGUCUCUAACGUGUGGGAUGGCGAUAGAGAGUGCUCAGGAAUGCAACUUCUCGGUAUCCAUGAACAAGCAACUGUAGGAUUCUUAACACUAAUGGAAGCUUUACGCUAUUGUAAGGUUGGUUCUUACUUGAAAUCUCCAAAAUUCCCUAUUUGGAUUGUUGGCAGCGAAACUCACCUCACCGUAUUUUUUGCCAAGGAUAUGGCUUUAGUUGCCCCUGAAGCGCCUUCGGAACAAGCCAGAAGAGUUUUUCAGACCUAUGACCCAGAAGAUAAUGGAUUCAUAGCCGACACACUUCUAGAGGAUGUCAUGAAAGCCUUGGACCUUGUUUCAGAUCCCGAGUAUAUAAAUCUCAUGAAGAACAAAUUGGAUCCAGAAGGAUUAGGAAUCAUAUUGUUGGGUCCAUUUCU
rnacentral:lncRNA from 1 species